rnacentral:rRNA from 1 species
UACGGGGGGGGCAAGCGUUGUUCGGAAUUACUGGGCGUAAAGGGCUCGUAGGUGGCCAACUAAGUCGGACGUGAAAUCCCUCGGCUUAACCGGGGAACUGCAUCCGAUACUGGAUGGCUUGAGUUCGGGAGAGGGAUGCGGAAUUCCAGGUGUAGCGGUGAAAUGCGUAGAUAUCUGGAGGAACACCGGUGGCGAAGGCGGCAUCCUGGACCGACACUGACGCCGAGGAGCGAAAGCCAGGGGAGCAAACGGG